GAGCGCAGUAUUAGAGGCUGUACGCGGCUGUGCUCUCGGGCCAGUUUUGCGGAGGCUGAAUUAUUUAUUACCCUUGUCUUUUGCGCACUUGUUGUUUCCUGGGCGGGUUCGCCCGCCACCAGGACCACAUCAUAAACCUUUUUUAUGCAGUUGCAAUCAGCGUCAGUAUAACAAAUGUAAAUCAUUUACAACUUUCAACAACGGAUCUCUUGGUUCUGGCAUCGAUGAAGAACGCAGCGAAAUGCGAUACGUAGUGUGAAUUGCAGAAUUCAGUGAAUCAUCGAAUCUUUGAACGCACAUUGCGCCCUUUGGUAUUCCAAAGGGCAUGCCUGUUCGAGCGUCAUUUGUACCCUCAAGCUUUGCUUGGUGUUGGGCGUUUUUUGUCUUUGGUUGCCAAAGACUCGCCUUAAAAGGAUUGGCAGCCGGCCUACUGGUUUCGCAGCGCAGCACAUUUUUGCGCUUGCAAUCAGCAAAAGAGGACGGCAAUCCAUCAAGACUCCUUCUCACGUUUGACCUCGGAUCAGGUAGGGAUACCCGCUGAACUUAAGCAUAUCAAUAAGCGGAGG
rnacentral:rRNA from 1 species